rnacentral:rRNA from 1 species
UACGGGGGGGCAAGCGGUUGUUCGGAAGUUACUGGGCGUAAAGGGCUACGUAGGCGGCCAACUAAGUCGGAUGUGAAAUCCCCAGGCCUUAACCUGGGAACUGCAUCCGAUACUGGAUGGCUUGAAUCCGGGAGAGGGAUGCAGAAUUCCAGGUGUAGCGGUGAAAUGCGUAGAUAUCAGGAGGAACACCUGUGGCGAAAGCGGCUCACUGGACCAUAACUGACGCUGAUGCACGAAAGCUAGGGGAGCAAACAGG